rnacentral:lncRNA from 1 species
AAUUUCAUUUUAGGACAUCUGUCAAAUAUUGACAUAUGGGUCUUAAACUAAAGAGAGCACAUUAGAGGAUUUUUGUGGAGUGUCCACAUGCCAAAACCACAUUGAAUUGGGUGCCAUAAUCAGAUUAUGGCGUGAGCCCAAUUGGAUUAAAGUGGGCGCCCCAAAUGGAUAAGGGUGAAGAGUCCUGAUUAACAUGGACUCUUUAGCGCCAACCCUUGCUUGUGCUUAUCCAAAGU